GACAGAGGGUGCAAACGUUGUUCGGAAUUACUGGGCGUAAAGCGUGCGCAGGCGGUUCGUCGUGUCUGAUGUGAAAGCCCCGGGCUUAACCUGGGAAUUGCAUUGUGACUGCACGGCUAGAGUGUGUCAGAGGGGGGUAGAAUUCCACGUGUGAGCAGUGAAAUGCGUAGAUAUGUGGAGGAAUACCGAUGGCGAAGGCAGCCCCCUGGGAUAACACUGACGCUCAUGCACGAA
rnacentral:rRNA from 1 species